UGGGGAAUAUUGGACAAUGGGGGAAACCCUGAUCCAGCAAUGCCGCGUGAGUGAAGAAGGCCUUAGGGUUGUAAAGCUCUUUCGCCCGCGAAGAUAAUGACGGUAGCGGGAGAAGAAGCCCCGGCUAACUCCGUGCCAGCAGCCGCGGUAAUACAGAGGGGGCAAGCGUUAUUCGGAAUUAUUGGGCGUAAAGGGCGCGUAGGCGGUGUCUUAAGUGGGAUGUGCAAUCCCCGGGCUUAACCUGGGAACUGCAGCCCAGACUGGGACGCUGGAGUACUGGAGAGGGUGGUGUAAUUCCACGUGUAGCGGUGAAAUGCGUAGAGAUGUGGAGGAACACCAGUGGCGAAGGCGGACACCUGGACAGUAACUGACGCUGAGGCGCGAAAGUGUGGGUAGCAAACA
rnacentral:rRNA from 1 species